rnacentral:rRNA from 1 species
AACGAACGCUGGCGGCAUGCCUAACACAUGCAAGUCGAACGAGACCUUCGGGUCUAGUGGCGCACGGGUGCGUAACGCGUGGGAACCUGCCCUUAGGUUCGGAAUAACUCCCCGAAAGGGGUGCUAAUACCGGAUAAUGUCUUCGGACCAAAGAUUUAUCGCGUUUGGAUGGGCCCGCGUUGGAUUAGCUGGUUGGUAGGGUAAAAGCAUACCAAGGCGACGAUCCAUAGCUGGUCGGGGAGGAUGAUCAGCCACACUGGGACUGAGACACGGCCCAGACUCCUACGGGAGGCAGCAGUGGGGAAUAUUGGACAAUGGGCGAAAGCCUGAUCCAGCAAUGCCGCGUGAGUGAUGAAGGCCUUAGGGUUGUAAAGCUCUUUUACCCGGGAUGAUAAUGACAGUACCGGGAGAAUAAGCUCCGGCUAACUCCGUG